CUCAAACCCAGGUCAAUUCCUAUUCAGACAGAUCCUUCCUCUUUCAGACACACUAGAUGCAUCCCCCACCAAAAAAAAUACAGUAGAGAACUAAAAAAAAAGCUGGUCAAUUAACAACAUAUGGUCUUUCGGAACCACGAAGCAGAAAAGAUAACAAACCCCUCAAACCCAGGUCAAUUCCUAUUCAGACAGAUCCUUCCUCUUUCAGACACACUAGAAGCAUCCCCCACCAAAAAAAAAAAAAAAACCAGUAAAGAACUCGAAACAAAGCUGGUUAAUUAACAACAUAUGGCCUUUCAGAACCACGAAGCAGAAAAGCCCCAAUCCCAACUCUCUCUGCUGCUCCAAUUCGCAUUCGCCUUCUCUCUCUUGCGAAACAAAUCCCGUAUUACAUAAACUCAAGGCGAGAGAUAAGAUCUCAAAAUGUAGGGGAGCAAGCAGACAAUCAAAGCUUUAACGCCAAUUAGAGAAUGACCGAGAUUGGACUAGCCUCAUGCAUGACGGUUCUCGACCACCAAGUAACGAAUUGGUAAUCAUCUCUUAUGGUCGACGAGUCAAAGAAAAACAUGCAAAUCACACUAGAAUACUCUCAGAUUGACUGAUAACAGAAGCAAAUCAAUACUGGAAGUCACUUGGGCAAAACAUCGAACACCUGAUGGACAUGAAAUUCCAAGUGCUCGGGACAGAAUACUCAACAAAUUAUCGAUGAGUAUAGAGUGAGGUGUUCAUUUUAAACAUUACAAGACACAAAAUCGACGAAUCGGAGGACAGGCGUGCACUGAGACAUGCUCGGCCAAAACCAAAAUAGAGCAUAGGAGAGGGGAUACGUGGCCAGAGCCGUCACUGGUCGAGAUUGAUGAUCGCCCGAAGGAGAGAGAUCGUAAUGGACAGUAAAGACGGGACCUAGAACUGUCAAAGGGAGGGAGGAACAAAGACUGUACUUCAGCAGCGAUGGCUCUGAAAUAGGGGCGAACGGAGCCUCUUCACGGCCGCGGAACUGGUGGCGAUCGUGCGACUACCGGUGGUUGAAAUUAAUGGGCCUGUGGGUUUAAUGGGUUUGAUCUCUGGGCCGAGGCUUCCUCU
rnacentral:lncRNA from 1 species